GGAGGUAUCAGAAGUGCGAAUGCUGACAUGAGUAGCGAUAAAGAGGGUGAAAAGCCCUCUCGCCGAAAGCCCAAGGUUUCCUGUUCAACGUUCAUCGGAGCAGGGUGAGUCGGCCCCUAAGGCGAGGCAGAGAUGCGUAGCUGAUGGGAAACAGGUCAAUAUUCCUGUACCGAUCAAUAGUGCGAUGUGGGGACGGAGAAGGUUAGCUCAGCCAACUGUUGGAUAUGUUGGUUCAAGCCUGUAGUCGUGCCUGGUAGGCAAAUCCGCCAGGCUUAGAUGAGGGGUGAUAAGGAGUCUGCUUGCAGACGAAGUGAGUGAUACCCUGCUUCCAGGAAAAGCCACUAAGCUUCAGCUACACACGACCGUACCGCAAACCGACACUGGUGCGCGAGAUGAGUAUUCUAAGGCGCUUGAGAGAACUCGGGAGAAGGAACUCGGCAAAUUGGUACCGUAACUUCGGGAUAAGGUACGCCCUGGUAGCUUGACCAGCCUGCGCUGGAAGGGUGAAGGGGUUGCAAUAAACUGGUGGCUGCGACUGUUUAAUAAAAACACAGCACUCUGCAAACACGAAAGUGGACGUAUAGGGUGUGACGCCUGCCCGGUGCCGGAAGAUUAAAUGAUGGGGUGCAAGCUCUUGAUUGAAGUCCCGGUAAACGGCGGCCGUAACUAUAACGGUCCUAAGGUAGCGAAAUUCCUUGUCGGGUAAGUUCCGACCUGCACGAAUGGCGUAACGAUGGCCACACUGUCUCCUCCCGAGACUCAGCGAAGUUGAAGUGUUUGUGAUGAUGCAAUCUACCCGCGGCUAGACGGAAAGACCCCAUGAACCUUUACUGUAGCUUUGCAUUGGACUUUGAACCAAUCUGUGUAGGAUAGGUGGGAGGCUUUGAAGCGGGGACGCCAGUUCUCGUGGAGCCAUCCUUGAAAUACCACCCUGGUUCAUUUGAGGUUCUAACCUUGGCCCGUUAUCCGGGUCGGGGACAGUGCAUGGUAGGCAGUUUGACUGGGGCGGUCUCCUCCU
rnacentral:rRNA from 1 species